GCGUAACGCGUGGGAAUCUGCCUUUAGGUUCGGAAUAACUCUCCGAAAGGGGUGCUAAUACCGAAUAAUGUCUUCGGACCAAAGAUUUAUCGCCUUUAGAUGGGCCCGCGUUGGAUUAGCUAGUUGGUGGGGUAAAGGCCUACCAAGGCGACGAUCCAUAGCUGGUCUUAGAGGAUGAUCAGCCACGCUGGGACUGAGACACGGCCCAGACUCCUACGGGAGGCAGCAGUGGGGAAUAUUGGACAAUGGGCGAAAGCCUGAUCCAGCAAUGCCGCGUGAGUGAUGAAGGCCUUAGGGUUGUAA
rnacentral:rRNA from 1 species